GACGAACGCUGGCGGCGUGCUUAACACAUGCAAGUCGAACGGUAAGGCCCUUCGGGGUACACGAGUGGCGAACGGGUGAGUAACACGUGGGUGAUCUGCCCUGCACUUCGGGAUAAGCCUGGGAAACUGGGUCUAAUACCGGAUAGGACCACUGCCUGCAUGGGUGGUGGUGGAAAGCUUUUGCGGUGUGGGAUGGGCCCGCGGCCUAGCAGCUUGUUGGUGGGGUGAUGGCCUACCAAGGCGACGACGGGUAGCCGGCCUGAGAGGGUGACCGGCCACACUGAGACUGAGAUACGGCCCAGACCCCUACGGGAGGCAGCAGUGGGGAAUAUUGCACAAUGGGCGCAAGCCUGAUGCAGCGACGCCGCGUGAGGGAUGACGGCCUUCGGGUUGUAAACCUCUUUCAGCACCGACGAAGCGCAAGUGACGGUAGGUGCAGAAGAAGGACCGGCCAACUACGUGCCAGCCGCCGCGGUAA
rnacentral:rRNA from 1 species